rnacentral:rRNA from 1 species
AAGUCGUAACAAGGUUUCCGUAGCUCAAGUACGGGACAGCUUGACCGCCAGGUCAAGGUGAUCCUUCCGCGUAACACUUGCCGAAGCCUUAGCAGCCCGAAAGGGUGCAGUUCCGCGACUCAAAGAAAGGAGGACUGCUGAAAUGCUAGUCUGCACAAGCAGGCAACACUAUCAAAUUGCGGGAACACCCUAAAGACCUCAACACCAAGCGUCAUGGGAAACCAUGGCGUGGCCGAGCUAAUAGCCCUGGGUAUGGUAACAGCUUGAGGUAUGAAGCCUUCGCAAGGAGGCCGAAAUGGGCAAUCCGCAGCCAAGUCCUAACGUGCUCGAAGCCGAGUGCCAUGGAUGCUGUUCACAGGCCAAAUGGUAGUGGGUGACUCACUUGCGAGUUGCUUAAGAUAUGGUCGGGCCCCUUCAGAAGUGUGGGGGAUAAGCUUACGCUUCUCUAAACCGUUCCGUAGGUGAACCUGCGGAAGGAUCAUUAACGAUUUCGGUGUAAAAAACCGUUUUCUACCUAUGUCUACGCGUACCACUUGUUUCCUCGGGGGGCUUGCCCCCCGCUAGGACCCUUUAUCAAACCUUUUUGUAAUAGCAGUCAGCGUCUGAUACUACGUUAAUUAUUAAAGCUUUCAACAAUGGAUCUCUUGGUUCUGGCAUCGAUGAAGAACGCAGCGAAAUGCGAUAAGUAGUGUGAAUUGCAGAAUUCAGUGAAUCAUCGAAUCUUUGAACGCACAUUGCGCCCCUUGGUAUUCCAUGGGGCAUGCCUGUUCGAGCGUCAUUUGAACCCUCAAGCUCUGCUUGGUGUUGGGUGUUUGUCCCGCCAUUGCGCGUGGACUCGCCUUAAAGCAAUUGGCAGCCAUGUAAUCCGGCUUUGAGCGCAGCACAUUGCGUACUCUCUACUGGGACAUGGGCAUCCAGAAGCCUUAUUUUUUACUCUUGACCUCGGAUCAGGUAGGGAUACCCGCUGAACUUAA